rnacentral:rRNA from 1 species
AUCCUGGCUCAGGACGAACGCUGGCGGCGUGCUUAACACAUGCAAGUCGAACGAUGAAGCCCUUCGGGGUGGAUUAGUGGCGAACGGGUGAGUAACACGUGGGCAAUCUGCCCUUCACUCUGGGACAAGCCCUGGAAACGGGGUCUAAUACCGGAUAACACCGGCUUCCGCAUGGAAGCUGGUUAAAAGCUCCGGCGGUGAAGGAUGAGCCCGCGGCCUAUCAGCUUGUUGGUGGGGUAAUGGCCUACCAAGGCGACGACGGGUAGCCGGCCUGAGAGGGCGACCGGCCACACUGGGACUGAGACACGGCCCAGACUCCUACGGGAGGCAGCAGUGGGGAAUAUUGCACANUGGGCGAAAGCCUGAUGCAGCGACGCCGCGUGAGGGAUGACGGCCUUCGGGUUGUA